AGAGUUUGAUCCUGGCUCAGGAUGAACGCUGGCGGCGUGCCUAAUACAUGCAAGUCGGACGGGGAGUUUCAUUUCGGUGGGGCUUCCAGUGGCGAACGGGUGAGUAACGCGUUGGUGACCUGCCCCGAAGUGUGGGACAACAGCUCGAAAGGGCUGCUAAUACCGCAUGAGCUCGUCGAGGUUAGAGGCUCGGCGAGGAAAGCAGCGAUGCGCUUUGGGAGGGACCUGCGUCCCAUCAGCUGGUUGGUAGGGUAACGGCCUGCCAAGGCGACGACGGGUAGGGGGCCUGAGAGGGUGGCCCCCCACACUGGCACUGAAACACGGGCCAGACACCUACGGGUGGCAGCAGUAGGGAAUAUUGCACAAUGGGCGCAAGCCUGAUGCAGCAACGCCGCGUGCGCGAAGAAGGCCUUCGGGUCGUAAAGCGCUUUUCUGGAGGAAGAGAGAGGACGGUACUCCAGGAAUAAGGAUCGGCUAACUACGUGCCAGCAGCCGCGGUAAUACGUAGGAUCCGAGCGUUAUCCGAAUUUACUGGGCGUAAAGCGCAUGUAGGCGGCCGGGUAAGUUGGACGUGAAAGCUCCUGGCUCAACUGGGAGAGGUCGUUCGAGACUGCCUGGCUAGAGGACGGUAGAGGGAGGUGGAAUUCCCGGUGUAGUGGUGAAAUGCGUAGAUAUCGGGAGGAACACCAGUGGCGAAAGCGGCCUCCUGGGCCGUUCCUGACGCUCAGAUGCGAAAGCUAGGGGAGCGAACGGGAUUAGAUACCCCGGUAGUCCUAGCCGUAAACGAUGUGGACUUGGCGUCGGUGGGGUCAAACCUGCCGGUGCCGGAGCCAACGCGGUAAGUCCACCGCCUGGGGACUACGGCCGCAAGGUUAAAACUCAAAGGAAUUGACGG
rnacentral:rRNA from 1 species